AUUGAACGCUGGCGGCAGGCCUAACACAUGCAAGUCGAGCGAGUGGCGGACGGAUGAGUAAUGUCUGGGAAACGGCCUGAGGGAGGGGGAUCAGUAAUGGAAGCGGUAACUAAUAACGCAUACCUUAGGAUGGGCCGAGGUGGGAUUAGCGUGGUGGUGGGGUAACGGCUCACCAAGGCGACGAUCCCGAGCUGGUCUGAGAGGAUGAACAGCCACACUGGAACUUAGACACGGUCCAUACUCCUACGGGAGGCAGCAGUGGGGAAUAUUGCACAAUGGGCGAAAGCCUGAUGCAGCCAUGCCGCGUGUAUGAAGAAGGCCUUCGGGUUGUAAAGUACUUUCAGUGGGGAGGCGUUACCCGCAGAAGAAGCACCGGCUAACUCCGUGCCAGCAGCCGCGGUAAUAC
rnacentral:rRNA from 1 species